GAAAUUACGCAUUUGUCCACGUUGGCCACGCGUCCAUCAUCGUCUUAACCUCUACUUCGACUGCAGCUUCUCGAUUUUUCCAUCCGUUUCCAGUUCUCUCUUUCGCAAAUCUCUGCUUCCGUUGCUCUCAACUUGCCUUCUGUCACUCUCAAACACCGGUUUGUACUCGGCAAAGUCUGUGAAGGACCAAUAAAUGGAUUCGAAGAUGAACCAAGUCAAGGGACACGGAGCUCAGAAUAUCGGAGAUUAGAGAUUUUAAUCUUCUGCACUUCAAAUUCGAAGCAUGCUGUAGUACAGAGUAUACAAUUCCUUGCUGGCUAUGAGAUUUCUCAAGAGGGUUUUGCCUUUCUGAAGAGUUACUUUCAAGGAUAAAAAUGAGUGUUCCAAAGAAAGCUAGGAGUUCGGGUGAUGAAAUUGAACUUAUCUUCUUGGGAUUGAGUUGCUUUUGCGACGGAGACAUGUCAGAGGAGAAUGAGACUGUCCAUGUCUGGAGUACUUUCUCUGCAUGCUUAGGGUAAAUUGUUUGCCUAUUCUGGGAGCAGCUAUUCCGAGGUUGAUUGAUAGGGUGAAUAUUGAAUCUGUCGACAUUAAAAGGACUUGGCAGGGUCUUUGAUUGGUGGUGACCCAGAGCAACAAUUUGCAAUGUGCUAUGAAUGUUUGCAGAUGUGCUUCAACGUUGAGAUCGAAAUGAGUAUAUUUCCAAUCCAAAGUUUGGGUCCAUUUGAAGCUAGCAAAAAAUUUAGAGUUUGUGUUAGCAAAAUGUGGAGACAAAAAGUUUUCAAAUCUGAUAUUCAAUGUUCUCAUUUGCACUGCAUAUUGGUUGAUGCAUUGGUGGACUUAAAAGAGAUAAAGUAUACAGGGGAUUGGUAGGAUCAACAUAUAAGAGUAACUCCUGUUGUAUUCCGUUUGCUUUUGUUGCUGCCGGUCUGCAAAUGGUAUACUUCUUCCAAAAUAAGAGGAAAAAAAUGUGUGAUUGUCUGCGAAGCACUUACCAAAGAAAGAAAUAUAAUAACUGCUGAGUAUGGAAUGCCAAAGAACCCACUUAAUCAGCUACAUAUCAACAUCAACAGCAUCAACGGUGUGUUGCCAAUUCAAUUUGCAAGAAAGCUUUUGAAAAUGCUCAAGGAGAAGAAGAGGUCAGAAAUUUCGUUUGGAUUUUAUACUUUGGAAAAUGUUCUAUUCCUAUGCAUAUUUGAUUUUUAUGAGGUCAAAUAGGUUCUGUAUUACCAAAUGUAGGGGUGUUGGGUUGUUUGAGUUGAUCCUAGCAUAUUGAUUCAGUGUAAUUAAGUUGAUUGAAUUCGAUUUUGAAGCUUGGGAAGAGAAUUGGUUCUCAAAGUUUGAUUUUCAUGUUUUUGGUUUUUGGUUUAGUCAAUUCUUUGCUGAAAAGUUGUAUUCCAUUGAGCUACGAUUUUUUGUAACUCGGCUUUAUUUAAUUUUUGGUACGUGAACAUC